GAAAGCCCUCUCCGGGGAGUGAAGCUCCGUGUGCGCCCACCGCCCCGCCCCACCCCGCCGGGGGAGCCGUGGCGCAACCCUAGCUCCAAAAGAAGCUUCCAAAGCCAGGGAAAGACACAGCCUUCCUACCAGGCUACCUUCCUGCCUAGCAUUUUAGCAUUUGCAACCCAGGAGCAUGGUUUCCCUUCGAUGCAUUCUUAAACCCACAUCUAAAGCCGAUAAAUUUCAAUAGGUGUGCACUUUAUUAGAGAAAAGGGCUUGAACCAACUUUACAUGAUCACUUUAGACCACAUAUCUCUACUCUGUGUUUUUUGCUCUUGUCACAACAGGAUGCCCCCAGCAGACAAUACCAACUCUGAUAUCCCAAUUUAAACUAGAAAAAUGAAGAUGGAGGAAUACCAUCUAACAGAGGAAAGAAUCAAGAUCUGCAGAGCCACUUAGCUGUACUUGUGCAAUUUUAUCUUCAUUGUUGAUGCAAGCACUGUCAUAAAUAGAUUUUGUUUGCAUUGAUGUUUUUGUGCUUCAUAUGAAUAUCUAUCUAUGUAUGCAAGGCAGGUUGUCUGUGGGCAAACUUAAUCCUUCCUUAGCACCCAGGUGAAAAUGGUUCAUUUUCAUCCUGUGCACGCUGAAGUCAGAGCAAAAAGCUCCUACCAAUUCAGAAGUUCCAGAUCAGGCCACUAACCCAGGCUGAGAGGAAGAGGGACAAGGAUAGGUAGACUGAAGAUUACAUAAUUAGGACAAAUAGUAAUUGUCAUGUGAUUUAGGUGACCGGUUGCUGACUACAAGUUGUCAAGUGGCAAUUUGAAGCUUUCACAUUUCAUUACAAGCUGUGAGGCCAGUCCUGGUCUAGAACCCAUUACAGUUAUUUCUGUCUUACACAGAUGCAAAUUUAACUGGAUGGGCUACUUAAAAGCUAGUUGACAUAUUUACAAAUUUAAAUAAAAAGAUUUGCAAAGAUGUUCAGUAAUCUCAUCCAAA